GACAGAGGAUGCAAGCGUUAUCCGGAAUGAUUGGGCGUAAAGCGUCUGUAGGUGGCUUUUAAGUCUGCCGUCAAAUCCCAGGGCUUAACCCUGGACAGGCGGUGGAAACUACCAAGCUGGAGUACGGUAGGGGCAGGGGGAAUUUCCGGUGGAGCGGUGAAAUGCGUAGAGGAUCGGAAAGAACACCAACGGCGAAAGCACUCUGCUGGGCCGACACUGACACUGAGAGACGGAAAGCUAGGGGAGCGAAUGGG
rnacentral:rRNA from 1 species